rnacentral:rRNA from 1 species
UACGAAGGGGGCUAGCGUUGCUCGGAAUCACUGGGCGUAAAGGGUGCGUAGGCGGGUCUUUAAGUCAGGGGUGAAAUCCUGGAGCUCAACUCCAGAACUGCCUUUGAUACUGAGGAUCUUGAGUUCGGGAGAGGUGAGUGGAACUGCGAGUGUAGAGGUGAAAUUCGUAGAUAUUGGGUGGAACACCGGUGGCGAAGGCGGCUCUCUGGCCCUGAUCUGACGCUAAGGCGCGAAAGCGUGGGGAGCAAACAGG